UACGUAGGAGGCGAGCGUUGUCCGGAAUUACUGGGCGUAAAGCGCGCGCAGGCGGCUAUCCAAGUCAGUGGUGAAAGCCCGGAGCUCAACUCCGGAACUGCCAUUGAAACUGUUUAGCUGGAGUAUGAGAGAGGUGAGUGGAAUUCCCAGUGUAGAGGUGAAAUUCGUAGAUAUUGGGAAGAACACCGGUGGCGAAGGCGGCUCACUGGUCCGGUACUGACGCUGAGGUGCGAAAGCGUGGGGAGCAAACAGG
rnacentral:rRNA from 1 species